AGGACUUGUCAUAAUAUGUCAUAGAUAUACCUAUUAUAAACAUUGGAGUAUUUUAUUACAAACAGGUCCUGCGAGUAUUAUAUCAUAAUAAAAGACAAAAUAUACCUAUACAUAAAUUUGGAGGUAAAAGUGCGUGUAAGUAUAGAUUAGGUAUCGACGACGACUUUUGAAAUGAUAAUCGAUUUCUUUAUAAAUCAUAUUAUUUACCAAUCUUGUCAUUAAAAAGUCAUCAGGCCAAAACGUGUGGUAUCCGUCACUGAAGUGUGCAACAUAGAGGUAAUUUAUAUUCAGAAGUUAUCGUUCAACUAAAUUCGUUCUGAUAUUUGAGUGAUAUUAUCUAUUAAAUAAAACUCAAAGGUUUCAUUUUGAAGCAAGUUAUUAGUGUGUAAAAUAUUACAAUUUAAAAAUUCUCAUACCGGCCUAUUUAUUACUACAAAAUUAAAAAAUUCGAUAAAAACACAUCCAAAAAAUAUUGUUACCUUCAGAUUAAAUAACAGGUAAAUUCACUCUUAUAUCUAAGCUAACAUUUAGCUGAACAAGAACUGCUGGAUGGUAAUUUACUAUAAUAUGUCACAAACUUAUAAAAUGGAAACAAUAAUAUUAUGAUAAUGUUUAUAAUACCUCCUCUUAAUUCAAAGCUAUUUAAUUGAACUUAAAUAUAUCUCAUAUUAUAGUUCUUUAUUAUUCACUAUGGAUUUAUGCAUCAAGGUUACACCUUACAUUUACUGUAUUAAACCUAUUGUAUAUAGGUAUAUCACAUUUUUAUUUUUUCAUACGAUUUGACGUGUAGAAAUUUUAUUGAGAUACCUUAUGUAAAAAUGUAUGUUCCAAAGAUAAAAUACAGUGAAACUUCUCCUAAUGGACACCUUUAAGAAGUAGAAACCUCCAAAUAGUGGACAUUUUCUUGUGAACUAACGAAACAUUUUCUACAAAAUGAACCCUCUGAAAUUUGAAUAGUGAACACCUUCGAAUAGAGGAUACAAUUUUAGCGACUGAGAUUGUCCGGUAUUUAGAGGUUUCGGUGUAACUUAUUUUAUUGUUUUAUUUCAAAUGUCCACGGUUUUAUAGUUACAUAUGGUACUUUUUGUAUAAAUAUUAUGCAGUUACGAUUUGUAGCUAUAAUUGAAACUUUUACUUUUCAAGGAUAUUUCGUAUGCUCAAAAUAAAAUACCCUUGAAAAUUCACUGAUUCCUAAAAUUUUUCACCGUGGCCUUAGCUCUGCAUGUAUACUGCAUGCAUCAGAAACAUUGAGUUUUGAACUUUUACAUUUUUUGGCUGAAAAGCACAGUACAAUAAUUAUAUGCGUGUACAACGUAUUAUAUGCUUAAUAAUAUUUACAUUCACGGUUCCCUGCAGUGAUUAACUCGUUUGAUAACUUUUAUCUAGUUAAUAUUUUUGUUAUAUUAGUGAUAACAUUGUUCUCCUUUGGUAUUAUCUACUAUACUUGUGUAUGUAGAAUCGACUUUAAUACAACAUUAAUACCACCCACGGUGCAGUUUCGAGAACAUCGGUAUUGUUUUCGGCCAUUACAGUUCGGGUUAAACUUGAUGGCGAUGGUAUAUAAGAAGAACACAAAAUCAGAUCGAUAGGUGUAAAACGAAUUAUGAGAUUCUGCUAAUAACUACUACUACGAUACCAAUAAAACAUUUUUAUAAGAUUUUAGAGUUGUUUUUCACAAACUACACCAAUUCACGACGAAAGCGAACUAUAAUUAGAUGUACAUUUUAAAAUACGAAGGACGUAAAUAUUCGAGAAGGAUAAUUUUUUUUUUAAUUUCAUCAAGCCGUUAAUGACAUAAUGUACUUAAAUCGGAUUCAUUAAAUAUCCUACGCAAUAAUUCCUAUAUAUAUGUUCGAAUUGUUCCUACAUCGUCAAUAAUUGCUUUCAACGGUUAAAAUUUGUUUAAUAAUGUAAAAUAGUAUCUCCGUAAAUCAAAUAAUUCUGUAGCGGAAAAUUGUAUUUUUAUUUUUGUUCGCAGCAUGUCUUGAAUUAAAUCAUGUUCGGUUGAUUACAUUCUUUUAUUCAAUUAUAUUGAACGAAUUAAAUAACGUAAUUUAUACUCGUAGCUUACGCCGCAUAAAUGUUUAUAAGCAAGUUUCGUAUAGUAUAAUAAGACCUGUAAAAACGGUGAGGUAGAAUUAUUCUGUGGUUUUUUGUUGUAUAUAGCCAUAUAGGUAGGUACAUAUAAUAUACGGACUAGGAUUAUAGUUAUUUGCAUCUGUAUAUCCGACCAUAAGACUUGGGGUUUCUGGGUCUCUGAGUUUUGUUAUCGUUCAACCAUGUGAUUACUGUUCAGUUUCGUGUCAUGGGUGGUUAUAUAUAUAUAUUAUACACGAGUAUAUAAUGUAUAUAUAUACGGAUUUCCUACAUGCACAAUUGUAUCGUUCCUAGGUAGGUACCUCAAUAAUUCUGGCUGUCUGAUCUAAAUUUAUUACUAUUUGGACAUCCACACUGUCUCCUAAAAAAUCCCUGAAAUUACCUCUAUUUUAUCGUAGUAUACCUAUAAAAGCUAAUAAUACAUGUAUUUGUCUAUAUACUCACAUCAGCAGUGACGGGUCGACGACUGGACGAAUUACCUACAAACGGACCCAUCCAAAUCUCAUUGAAAAUAAAAACGUCAAUAUAAUAAAAUACUGACUAUAUUAUUGUAUAUAUAUUAUUUCUUGUUAUAAAUUUCCCUGGCAGAAUUGAUAAAUCAAGACAAGCAAAUUCAGACACUUAGGUACAAAUGGACAAAAUAUACACUACAGUAAUAAUGCACACGUUUUGGAUGCGUUAAUUUAAUGAAUUCAACAGAAGAAAACCAUUUAUUGAAUGUUAUGCAUUAUCUAAAAGAUGUAAAAAAGAAUAUUGAACAUUUUAAAUGUCUAUAAAUAUCAAAAAAGGGCCAACAUAUUUAGUAAAAACUAUAUUUAUUGAUAUUUAAUUAAAAGAAAAUCAAUUAUGUUGAAAAUUCCCGUUAGUCAAAAUUUUUUUUUUGUUUUAAUGAUAAUUUUGAAAAGUAUUGGAAAUUUGAAGAUUGAAGUACUUUCACUAUUUUAAAAGGUGAUACCAAACAUACAUAUCAUAUUAAAACAAACCACUCCGCUCAGAAUCUAAAAUUAUAUAUGUAGUAAGUAGGUACUUAAAUUAUAUUGUUUUUAAUAAUAUUUGUUAUAGCAGCUACGAUCUGCGUGUUAGUGUGCGUAUUUAUGAUUUUAAAUCACGGAUAUAAACCUGAAUACAUUUUUCUUCAAACGAGACUGAUUAAUAUCCAGUAAUAACCAAUACAACGAGUUAAAGAUAGUCUUAUUUCUUGAUUAUUCUUAGUAGUUAUAUUGUUAUUUUAUCAUCUAAAGCAAAAUUAAUAUAAAAUUAUUAAGAUAUAGUAAGGCACAAUAAUAUAAUAUACUAAUGUGUGAUAACAACCGAAUACGCAUGGGAAAUAAAAUACAAUAUUAUUGCACCUGUCUUCAUAAACUAUUGUUCGGCCCUUAAAUUGCCUUAGAAUAAAUCCACGUUCACAGUGCACCUGCAAGGCGAUGUUAAAUAAGUGUUCAUAUUACUCUCUGUUUUCAGUAACGCAGUAAUUUAGUGAGAGUGUUGAAAACUAUUCUUGUUCUCGGCCAAAGUAAAACAAAGCGUCGCAAAGUUUGUGUGAACUUUAGUACUUUUAUCUUAUUUUUUCUUUGUACCUAUAGGUACUCUAGGCACAAUGACGAGUGAGAAAAUUAUGAAAUACGCACAGAAACGUGUAUACGAAUGCAUAAAAUAUAAUAAAUUAUAUUGUACUAGAGCAUGUACCUAAUGUAAUAAAUUAUUUUAUAUUAUAUUUUAGCGGUGGGUAAUAUAAUAAUAAUUGAUGUUACACGAUCGACCCAAAAAAUAUUAUCGUGCAUAUUUUUUAUUGUACUCGUUUUUUUAUAACGUUCCGCAGAACAAUUAACGUAGAUAAUCUCGAGUAAUAUUGAUGUCGUGCUUACAACAAAACGCAUUAAUUAGUCGUUGCCAGACCGAAACAGCUCCGGUACGGUUUUCAAACGUAUUCAAACGGAAUAUAUUAAUAAAAUAUUAUUUAUAUAUCAUUUCAUAUGACUGUAUAAUUUUGAUAUUUUGUGUCUUUUGAAACGAAUUAUGAGUCUAAAAAAUGUGUACGUUAUUAUACAGCUAGGUACUAGGUGAAACAGGUAGUUAAACAAGGUACUUCAUAGUCAGAAAUCUCGUGUAUUAUAAUGUAUUAUAGAAUAAUAUCAUAUAAUAUUAUACAUUUGUAUAAAAAAAAUAAUAAGCAACUGUAUUCCGGUGGGUUUCACAAAACUUUGUUGCAGUUCUGAGGUUUAAAAUAAAAUCAUCUAAACUUCUUCGUCUUGAAUGCUGCAAUGCGUGCGUUACGAACACGCAACCCUCCGACAAAAACAUUAAUGCUAAUUAGCUUUAUACAAUAUUAUCCUAAUAUAUAUGUAGCAUUUUCAAUGUUCGCUUGUUACUUGUCCUUUUGUACGAUUUGAUAGGUAAUCGAAUCGAAACAAGACAAUAAGACCAGCACACAGUAUGAAUCAAUCGCCAUAGCGAAUUUGUUUAUUUCACAUACUUAUUUAUAUGAUGUAAUAUAUAUAUUAUAUAUAUAUUAUUAUGAUGAUUUAUAUUAAUACAUGAUACCGAAAAUGUAAAAUAUAGUAUGGAUAUAACGGCUCGUAGUAAACUUAAACAUUUGUCACUAUAAUAUGACCUGCCAUAAAAGCCAAAUUGAGUUUUCAAUUUUUGGUGGGAUUGAAUUUUUACAAUGACUAUAUUUUUCAACAAAUAACUAAUAUUAUCUAUUUUUUUCCAAACACUACGAUCAUAAACGAUGUCAUUUUUAUGAAACAGUUUUAUUGCCGUAUAAUAUUUUAAACCAUUCAAUUUAUAAGCGUCCGUGAAACUUUAAUGGGUCAGCUGUCUAUGCUAGGCCAUAUUAAAGUCAUAUAAUUGUAUUUUGAACAUAAUAUAUAUUUAUAUAUUGUACGCACAUUAAAGAGAAAAACGAAUAGAAAAUACAUAUUAUUAAAUCUGGAUUGAUGAGAAAUAACUUACUUAUUAUACAGCGAGACGGGUAGAGAAUUUCAUUUAACAUUGAUUCAACAGUUGUAAAUGUAAAAAAAAAAACAAAAAACAAAAUAUAAGGAAUUUGUUUUUAUUUGAAAUAAUAUUUGUAGUGUGUUUUUGAGUCCAUAUUAUUAUAAAAGUUAUGUAAAGUUAAAAACAUGAAAAUAUCAAAGUUGUAAUAAUAUUGAGUUAACAAUUGGAUUGUUCCUAAUCAAAUCUGAUCUCUACCUAAUUAUGCAAUAUAUCACAUAUUCACACCUCACUCUAGUAUAAAAAAACUAACCUAUGCCUACCUAUAAAAAAAAUCUGUGACCAUAAACAAUUAAUACAUUAAGACAAAUUAGGUCAUCCACCUUAGAAACACGAUUGUUCUCUUCCUAGGUAUACCAAAAUAACUAGAUAGACUCCGAAUCAGCCAUUCUUACUUAAGCACCUCGAGACUAUACAAGCACUACCAUUAUGCGUAACCUUGUGCUCUUCUUGUUUCAGAUAAAUACUAUUAUUCACGGAAGCUACAAGAUUCAACGAUCAAAGACGAGCUCAAUCUUCAUCAUAAUCUAUGUGAACUAAAGCAUCAGAUUCGGAAACCACCACUCAACUCACAAGAUUCAAAAAUUUAUUGGAAUUAUAUAAUAAUAUUUAAAUGUACUAACCUGAACCAAUAUUAUUAUCUUCUUUAAUAAUUUGUAUCUUAUUUAAAUGAUGUAAUUUUAUUUUAUGUUGAUCGUAAGUACCUAAUGCUAUUAUCUUGCUGCGUAUAUUAAAAAAAAAAUUACCCUACCCACCACCCAUUAGAAUUGUUUCGUAUGACGUUUUGGAAUGGCAUUUGUUACUUAAGCGGCCGACGCGCGACCUGUUUUUUGCUCAAAGACAUGCCUUACAGGAAAAACUCUCACUCCUCGUAGAUUGGUCCGAUUUCCGUAAUUUUUUUUUGAUGUGAAACAUCUUAUGGCGCGGUACAGUAGUGAGACCGACUGUGGCGUGGCGACGCCCCACUCAUAGAUUUCAAAUCGAAAUUUUUGUUUAUAAAUGGUUGCCACGAGUGACGUCGUAUAAUAUGAUUCGUUCUAUAAAUUUUUUGUUUAUAAAUGGUUGCCAUGAGUGACGUCGUAUUGUUUAUAAAUGGUUGCCAUGAGUGACGUCGUAUAAUAUAAUUCGUUCUAUAAAUUUCAAUACAGAAUUAUAGUGAAUCGUUUUAAGUCGUUGCCACGGACACAAACAAACCAUUUAUCUUGUAAAUCUUGUAAUAACGAUAUAUAUUUUCUAAUGAAAUAUGAGUGACAGUGACAGUGAAAAUAUUACAAAUACAAUGGAACGAGACAGUGCACCGCCGCCAGAAAAAAGAAUUAAAUUUCAAGUUAACCAAAAUGCAGGUCGGAGUGAAAUGUCUCCGUCAUGUGCUUUUGCUGUUUAUCCCGAUUCACAAUUUACUGAUUCGAGCCAAAGGUUAGUUUGUUUAUUUUAAUAAUAAUGAUCUCUGUAUAACUUCGUAUUUAUAUUACAAGAUAGUGAAGAAGUAAAAUAUUAAUUAGAUUAAUAGAUAUUAGAUAUAAAUUAUAUUUAUGACUUAAUAUGGUUAGUCAACGAAAUGUGAUAAGUGGUAUUCGACAGGUGCUUAUCGUGGUGCUAUAGAUAAAAUGUUUGAUGUUUCACAUCUGCCAGGCGUCCCGCGACGGCUCACUUUUUAUUAGAUAUAGGAAGACGCAUUGCAAGGCGCGCAUUGGACUUGAAUAUUCAAAACUAUUUUUCUAAAUCUUAUAUUACAAGUUUGAAUUUAACCCAUUUUUACAACUUUUUAGUUUUUGUAUUAUUUUUUGUUUAUAGCAACGUAAUCAAAAAUCGAAGUCCAAUGCGCACUGCAAAAAUAUUCCUCUAUCUAACAAAAAAAAAAUUACGGAAAUCAGACCAAUCUACGAGGUGUGAAAGUUUUUCCUUUAAAGUGUGUUCUGAUCGAUAUAAUACACCCUAUCAACCUCCCCCCUAAAUAGGUAUCGGGUAGUAUUAUAAGUAUUAUAAUUAAGGUGGCAACUAAAGUAUAAAAUUUUAUUUUCGAAUUUUAUAGAAUUGCGGAAAAUUUGAAAAAUUGCAAUCAGGAUCCUUAAACAAUAUGUGAUCUUACGGGUAAACUAUCCUCUAUUCCAAAUAAGUCUGGAAAAACUGCACAGCCUCUGAACGGUAGAACCGCUGUGAUUGGCCGCAGUAGUCAGCUGCGCCGACUGCAGCCAAUGAGACUGCACAUGCGCAAACCGUGACGCGUUUCCGUCGGGAUUUUUCCAGACUGAUUUGGAAUAGAAUGUACAAUAUGAUAUGAAAAAUAUUUAUAGAUAUUAUCAAUAUAAUAUUAUAUGUCUAAAUAAAAAAGUAUUAACUGUAGUUAAAAUAAUAUUAUGUCAUUUUUCAUUAGCGAGAAAUCACUAGGCCGGGAUAUUGUUUUACACUCGAGAUGUUUUAACGUGUGCUAUUCGGUGUAACUUAACCUAUAGCACCGCCGCCACUAGUUAAACACUAUUAAUUUAAUUUUAAACAAACAUUAAUUAUACAUACUACAUAAUAUUAUACAAUAUGUAUUAUGUAUGUUAUACGAUCCUACUACCGCGCUGUCGUUGUCACCGCCAAUUAAACUCACCGCGGUGGCGUUUUCUUGGUAAGUAUAUAAUAAUAUAUCUACAAAGUACGCUUCGUGUACUUUGUAUAAUAACUAUCACGAACACAAUUUUCGAGAGUUUUGGAAAAAAACCAACAGACAGACAUUCUAACCCCAUGCUAUAAUUAAUAUCCCAGUUUUCAGCUAACCGACAUAAUUAUGGCACACGCUUGAGAUCGGUCUGAAAAGUAAAAUUUGAGAAUAUCGCGCCAUUUUAUUUUAACAAUAUUAUUAUAAUAACCGUGUAUGUAAUUAUAUAUAUGUCUGUUGUCUAUGUCUUAACUUAAAACACGGAACUGCGAUUUCGUUUUUCAUUUCACUUUUGUAUAAUUAUAAUAUAUCAUCAUCAAUCAUCAUCAUCAUCACUGAUGUUUAUAACUCUAUUUGAGUUUUUGCCGCCAACACUAUGUCCCUCCAUUUCUCUAAGUUAAUAUAUAUAUAGAACUUUAUAUACUAUAAAUUGGUCUAAUUUUUGAGAUGAUAUUCUUAAAACAAUAAUGAGAAAUCAAUUAAUUUUCAAAUUCAAACUAAGAACAAUUGAAGAGAAACAAGAUCUCAUCAUAAAAAUGCUGGAAGAUCAAGCAAACAAUCAAAUUUUUUCGAAUGAAAAUAAUUCACUUAUUGAUUACAACCCUAUGGCAGAUUUGUACCCCAUAGAAAGUCUUGAUGAUCUCAAUAAAAUAGAAGAGCAAAUUAUAUUGGACAGCGAAUAUCGCAGAAAAAUUGUUCAUGAUCUAUCCAACAGUAUUGGUGGGAAAAAUGUAAAUUCUCCAGUAAAGAAAAUUAUGGGUCAACUUUUUGAUGAUAGAUUAUUGGCCCAAUUUUCCUUUGCAGGAAGAAAAUUAACAUCUAAAAAUCAUUUCAGUCGUUGGGCUUUUAUAAAAUAAUUGAUGAAGCCACCAAAAAAAUGGCAAAAUUCAAAGGUGUUGUAAAGCAAGAAGAGAUUGACGAUUGUAUAAAAUAUAUGCUUAUUCAAGCACCAUUUCGCUUAAAACGAAAAAAAGAACAGGAAAAUUCAGCAUUAUUAAAAUAAAAUAAACAAAUGUAGGUAUUAUACUUUAUAUCUUUAAUAAAGCAUGUUUUCUAUUGUUAAAAUGUGUAUGUAUUUUAUUAAAAAAAAUAUAGGUAUUAUAAAAUAUAAGUAAAAUCACAGAUUUAAACUAAUAUUGAAUUCAACCUAAAAAUGCAAUGUUGUUUAUAACUUGAUAAUAUAAUGUUGAAUUCAACAUUCAAAUGCAAUAUUUCUUAAAACAUUUUGGUGUAAUGUUGGAUUUAACAUGUAUGUUAUCAUGUUGAAUAAAGCAUAGGGAUGCGAUGUGUCUGAUAACAUUGUGGUGUAAUGUUGAAUUAAACCUUGCAGUACAAUGUGAUAUCAAGUCUUAAAAAUUGGUUCAAAUGAUGUUUAGUAUAAGGUUUAUAAAUGUUUAUUAAAAUACAAUUUAAUGAGUAUUAAAUGGUUAGUUCAAUGUUUAAAGUUGUUUUUUUUUAGUUUUAAUUAAUGUUCUAUUUAAG